GGCUGAUCUCCUUCAGAAUGGACUGGUUGGAUCUCCUUGCAGUCCAAGGUUUGUGGGCAGGAGGAAGAAAUCAAGAUCCAAACACUUUUGUUCCUCAUCACCGACUCCUGACUGCGAGCCCUCGUCUUACAUAAGCCCCCAGACUCCUUGUGGAGGCAGGAGAGGGGGAGGAACAGUUCCUGCCGCACGAGCCUACUGUGUUUCCCCUCUCCACCAGCUGAGAAAUAAAGCCACCUUUCUAUUCCCCCCAAA